UCUCAGUAGAGGCACAGCCGUAAAACCUCCCUGCAGUUCCCACCGCAUCGUGCUCAGCCUCAAGCCAAGUUCUGGCCACAUCAUCCGAAGGAGACACGGGGCAGCAGAGAGGGGAUACCACGGUGCUGCAUAGCCAGGGCUGGUCCUGCCUGGACUUUGCCUUAUCCUGAGGCUGAAGUCAAGAAUAAGGUGGAUGAAUGAGGUUUUUCUUUCUCCUUCAGGUAUAAGGAGCCAGAGCAGACUGCCUCAGGUGAACAUACCUACGUUAGAAGUGGAGAGAGGGAACGUUGUCCCUUUUUGAUGCCAUCCCCUCGCAGGAGUGCUUCAGAGCCCACAUUUUCCUUCCCAGAUGUUGUCGUGUAACCCCAUGGGGACACACCAGCCGCUGAACGAAGCGUGUGCCCUGUCACGGAUCCAGGCCUGCAGACGCUGAGGAGAGAACUAACGUCCUUGUGACUGUGCAGCAUCAAACCCCAGCAAGGGCCCUGCCCUUGAAACUAAACUACCACGUGCGGGCACCACCUUCCCUCCCACCUCCUGCAGCCAAGGCGGCUCCGCCCGAGUCAGCAGCCAGCUUCCGCGGUGGAAGAGAAGGAAAAAAAAAAAAAACACUCCUGAGAGGUGCUAACGGAGAAAGCCUGGAAAGCAGAAAGAGAGAAUUGGCUGGAAAACGCUGUCGCCGUCAGUUACAGCUCCCAUCUGCUAGAAGGAGGAAGGCACGAAGACGACGUCCCACAGGGCACGAGGACGACGUCCCCCAGAGCCGGGCUGC
rnacentral:lncRNA from 1 species